rnacentral:rRNA from 1 species
AUACGGAGGAUGCGAGCGUUAUCCGGAUUUAUUGGGUUUAAAGGGAGCGUAGGUGGGAUAUUAAGUCAGCUGUGAAAGUUUGGGGCUCAACCUUAAAAUUGCAGUUGAUACUGGUUUCCUUGAGUACGGUACAGGUGGGCGGAAUUCGUGGUGUAGCGGUGAAAUGCUUAGAUAUCACGAAGAACUCCGAUCGCGAAGGCAGCUCACCGGGCCUGAACUGACACUGAUGCUCGAAAGUGCGGGUAUCAAACAGGAUUAGAUACCCUGGUAGUCCGCACAGUAAACGAUGAAUACUCGCUGUUUGCGAUACACUGUAAGCGGCCAAGCGAAAGCGUUAAGUAUUCCACCUGGGGAGUACGCCGGCAACGGUGAAACUCAAAGGAAUUGACGGGG